CAGCAUGUCCAGUUAAAUUUAAAUUUCAGAUAAACAAGCAAUGUUAUUUUGUAUUUGUAAGUAUGUCUCAUACAACAUUUGGGACAUGCUUAUACUAAAAAUCUGUCCUUGUUAUCUGGAAAUCAAAUUUAACUGGAGCUCCU
rnacentral:miRNA from 1 species